GACGAACGCUGGCGGCGUGCUUAACACAUGCAAGUCGAACGGAAAGGCCUCUUUCGGGGGGUACUCGAGUGGCGAACGGGUGAGUAACACGUGAGUAACCUGCCCUUGACUUUGGGAUAACUUCAGGAAACUGGGACUAAUACCGGAUAGGAGCUCCUGCUGCAUGGUGGGGGUUGGAAAGUUUCGGCGGUUGGGGAUGGACUCGCGGCUUAUCAGCUUGUUGGUGGGGUAGUGGCUUACCAAGGCUUUGACGGGUAGCCGGCCUGAGAGGGUGACCGGCCACAUUGGGACUGAGAUACGGCCCAGACUCCUACGGGAGGCAGCAGUGGGGAAUAUUGCACAAUGGGUGGAAGCCUGAUGCAGCAACGCCGUGGGCGGGAGGACGGCCUUCGGGUUGUAAACCGCUUUCGCUCAUGACGAAGCUUUGUGUGACGGUAGUGGGUAAAGAAGCACCGGCUAACUACGUG
rnacentral:rRNA from 1 species